UACGUAGGGUGCAAGCGUUGUCCGGAAUUAUUGGGCGUAAAGAGCUCGUAGGCGGUUUGUUGCGUCGGCUGUGAAAUCCCGAGGCUCAACCUCGGGUCUGCAGUCGAUACGAGCAAACUAGAGUGUUGCAGGGGAGACUGGAAUUCCCGGUGUAGCGGUGAAAUGCGUAGAUAUCGGGAAGAACACCAAAGGCGAAAGCGCUCUGCUGGGCCGAAACUGACACUGAGAGACGAAAGCUAGGGGAGCGAAUGGG
rnacentral:rRNA from 1 species